rnacentral:rRNA from 1 species
AACGAACGCUGGCGGCAUGCCUAACACAUGCAAGUCGAACGAGACCUUCGGGUCUAGUGGCACACGGGUGCGUAACGCGUGGGAAUCUGCCCCUUGGUUCGGAAUAACAGCGAGAAAUUGCUGCUAAUACCGGAUAAUGACGUAAGUCCAAAGAUUUAUCGCCAAGGGAUGAGCCCGCGUAGGAUUAGCUAGUUGGUGUGGUAAAGGCGCACCAAGGCGACGAUCCUUAGCUGGUCUGAGAGGAUGAUCAGCCACACUGGGACUGAGACACGGCCCAGACUCCUACGGGAGGCAGCAGUGGGGAAUAUUGGACAAUGGGCGAAAGCCUGAUCCAGCAAUGCCGCGUGAGUGAUGAAGGCCUUAGGGUUGUAAAG